AACGCACAUGGCGCCCGCCAGCAUUCUGGCGGGCAUGCCUGUCCGAGCGUCACUCACACCGCUCAAGCGCUCUCGCUUGGUGUUGGGGCGCUGCAGCGCAGCCGCGCGGCAGGCCCCGAAAGUCAUUGGCGGGCUCGUCGCAGGGCUCCGGGCGCAGUAGAGAUACCUCGCCCUGGAUGCCCCGCCGGGCGCCGGCCGUAAAACCCCAAGACCGUCUCGCACGAGACGUUAAAGCGUUGACCUCGGAUCAGGUAGGAAUACCCGCUGAACUUAA
rnacentral:misc_RNA from 1 species